rnacentral:rRNA from 1 species
UACGAAGGGUGCUAGCGUUGUUCGGAAUUACUGGGCGUAAAGCGCGUGUAGGCGGUUUGGCAAGUCGGUCGUGAAAUCCCUUGGCUUAACCAAGGAACUGCGAUCGAAACUACUAGACUCGAGUGUCGGAGGGGAUGGCGGAAUUCCCGGUGUAGAGGUGAAAUUCGUAGAUAUCGGGAGGAACACCUGUGGCGAAGGCGGCCAUCUGG